ACGCACGCUAGCGGCGUGCUUAACACAUGCAGGUCGAACGGAAAGGCCCUGCUUUUGUGGGGUGCUCGAGUGGCGAACGGGUGAGUAACACGUGAGUAACCUGCCCUUGACUUUGGGAUAACUUCAGGAAACUGGGGCUAAUACCGGAUAGGAGCUCCUGCUGCAUGGUGGGGGUUGGAAAGUUUCGGCGGUUGGGGAUGGACUCGCGGCUUAUCAGCUUGUUGGUGGGGUAGUGGCUUACCAAGGCUUUGACGGGUAGCCGGCCUGAGAGGGUGACCGGCCACAUUGGGACUGAGAUACGGCCCAGACUCCUACGGGAGGCAGCAGUGGGGAAUAUUGCACAAUGGGCGGAAGCCUGAUGCAGCAACGCCGCGUGCGGGAUGACGGCCUUCGGGUUGUAAACCGCUUUCGCCUGUGACGAAGCGUGAGUGACGGUAAUGGGUAAAGAAGCACCGGCUAACUACGUG
rnacentral:rRNA from 1 species